rnacentral:tRNA from 1 species
GCAGCUGUGGCCUACUGGUUAGCGCUUCGGACUAACCGGAGGGUUGCCGGUUCGAACCCGACCAGUAGGA